GGCAGCGAGGCUCAGUGGAAAGAGCACGGGCUUGGGAGCCGGUGGUCGUGGGUUCUAAUCCCGGCUCCGCCA
rnacentral:tRNA from 1 species